CACAACACAAUCUUCAUCAUCACACAAGACACAACAACAACAAUGAACAACAUGAUUAUCUUCAUCUGGACUCUCACACUGUUUGCUCAAGAGUGUAGAGGACAGAUCACUGUAACUCAGAGUCCAUCAAUAACAGCAGCUCAACCAGGACAAGAAGUCAGAAUAAACUGUAAAACCAGCAGUUCAGUGUAUGGUGGUAGUUACUUACACUGGUACUCACAGAAACCUGGAGAAGCUCCCAAACUCCUCAUAUAUUAUGCAACAAACCGUUACACUGGAACUCCAUCUAGAUUCAGUGGCAGUGGAUCUAACAGUGAUUUCACUCUGACCAUCAGUGGAGUCCAGACUGAAGAUACGGGAGAUUAUUACUGUCAGAGUGUACACAGUGGUCCAGUGUUCACACAGAGAUAAAGAGUCGUACAAAAACCUCCGUCAGUCAGAGUCACAGUGACUGCACUGAUACAGCUGAGAGAUACUGCAGCUGCUCAUAAACACAAUCACACACAACACUGAACAGAGAACAAACACUAAUUAGACAGUAUAAAUAGAUAA